GGUAGGAGGGACGGUAGCUGCCCUUCACCACUCCGGAAUCUUUGGAGUCAAAACUGCUGCGUGGUGAUGUUCCUGCUGACCCAUGUCCCUCCAUUUCCCACUGCUGAGGUAAAAAAUAGAUAAAACAAUUGUCAACUUACUUCGGCAAAGUCAAAGAUGAAGUAUCCGUAUAUUGACACUGCGAGGAGGUAGACCAAAAACUUGAGAAGGAAGUGCAUCCUGAAGAAGGUCCAGGCCACGAGGAGAGUGAGGGCGGUGCUGUAAGUGAAAUACUGCCCCCGCCAAGGCCAAGGUUCAGACAGACGGCUCAAGACAGAAUACAGUUAUGUGUUACACGCUUCACUCUCAUUCCUCAACAUGCAUCACCUGGCUAUCUCACAGGUGUACAAGGCAGCGCACACCGUCAGGUACAGCACCACCCGCACGCUGAAGGACGAGAUGAUGUUCGUGGAAGACCAGUAGAAGAAUUUUGUGAUGGUGAAGCGAUUUUUGGCAUCUUCCUCGAGGUCAUUGUGAGGGUCUACUAUGUGCUGGUGUACAGUGGCGACCCAGACCAGCACCAUCACCACGCUCAGCAGUGCCAGACACCCGACGCCCGCCUGCCACCCUAAAGAGUUCCUGUGGUGUUGCUCUGGUUAGCAAGGCUGUGACACUUGAAGGCCAGGUUGCCAUGAUCCUCACCCGGGCAUGAGUGACUGCUGCGUGACAAAGAUGGAGACGAAAACCACUAAGGCGCAGGCGAUGUAAUACUUGUAGAGCGGGUCGGAUUGACGCAGCAACGGCAACUCCCACUCACGAUUGGUGAAGUUAAGGAAGAAUGGAUUGAUGCCCUCUGGAUGGAACCACUGGCUGAGAGAGAAACGUGGAGCAUGACACCAGUACAGACCAACACUCAAGCUUCCUCUCCGCCUACCUUGGUGACGAUGUGCUCGUGCUCUGUGUCCAGGUGGCCAGUGCUGAUGGCGUAGUAGGUGAGGGCGAGGUCCCCGGCGGUGAGGAAGCCUCCCAGCACCACCGUCUGCCACUUGUGUGAGAUUGGUAGGAACACGUACACCACAAGCAGCAGGUACACCAUGUUGCCAGACUGCAGGAAGGCACACACCAUGCAAGGACAGUAUACACACACACACACACACACACACACACACACAC